rnacentral:sRNA from 1 species
UCAGGAUGUGCUGGAGGUGGCAAAUCGUCAGCGCCGUACUCUUGAUGAGCGUCAGCAAGAAAAGAUCAACGUGAAUCUGCGUGCAUAAGCAGUCAGUGACUCAUUUAUCUGUUUUUGGAAGUGAUGUACGGAGUAAAAGAGCAAUGAAAUUACCGAUUUAUCUGGACUACUC